UGCUUCAAAGAUUCAAGAACUCCACGGCA
rnacentral:piRNA from 1 species